rnacentral:tRNA from 1 species
GGGUCGGUGGCCGAGUCUGGUUGAAGGCGACAGUCUGUAAAACUGUUCUUUUUUGCGCGCAGGUUCAAAUCCUGCUCGACCCA